rnacentral:rRNA from 1 species
AUGUCGACCGAGCUCAGGAUCCACAGCAUCCUCUUCUCCUCCAAGAGCAAGAACAGCAACGUCUGCAAGGGACAUGCGCCGCCCAUCGUUGACCUCCAGGUCAUCAAGAACGCCUGGGACGGCAAGAGCUACCUCCUCAUGCAGGUGAACGUUCCGAAGACCAAGAAGACCUGCAAGAACAAGGAGUGCAAGAAGCUCAGGGGAAGCGUCGUUAUGACCGCAAGCAGUCUGGAUAUGGAGGCCAGACAAAGCAUGUUUUCCACAAGAAGAUCAACGGCUCUCUGGCUCCGCAGGGCCAGCAAGGACCUGAUGAAGAGGGGGCUCAUCAGGAUGGUGUCAAUAUUGUGGGAACUGUUCUAG